rnacentral:rRNA from 1 species
AGAGUUUGAUCCUGGCUCAGGAUGAACGCUAGCGACAGGCUUAACACAUGCAAGUCGAGGGGCAGCGAGGGAGUGGCAACACUUCUGUCGGCGACCGGCGCACAGGUGAGUAACGCGUAUGCAACCUGCCCUUCACAGGGGGAUAACCGGGAGAAAUUCCGACUAAUACCGCAUACGUCCCCUGGGGGCAUCCCCUGGGGAUGAAAGAAUUAUCGGUGAAGGAUGGGCAUGCGUGAUAUUAGGUAGUUGGCGGGGCAACGGCCCACAAGCCCACGAUAUCUAGGGGUUCUGAGAGGAAGGUCCCCCACAUUGGUACUGAGACACGGACCAAACGUCCUACGGGAGCA